rnacentral:rRNA from 1 species
UACGGGGGGGGGGCAAGCGUUGUUCGGAAUUACUGGGCGUAAAGGGUGUGCAGGCGGGCUGUUAAGUGGUGCAUGAAAUCUCCGCGCUUAACGUGGAGAGGCUGUGCCAGACUGGCAGUCUAGAGUACGAGAGAGGGUUGUGGAAUUCCGGGUGUAGUGGUGAAAUGCGUAGAGAUGUGGAGGAACACCGAUGGCGAAGGCAGCCCCCUGGGUCAAGAUUGACGCUCAUGCACGAAAGCGUGGGGAGCAAACAGG